CUCUGUCUCCCCAGUCCUUCCUAACAUAGCUGUUAGGUCUUUAACACUGUCUGUCAGUCUCUACCUCUGUCUCUGUCUCCCCAGUCCUUCCUAACAUAGCUGUUAGGUCUUUAACACUGUCUGUCAGUCUCUACCUCUGUCUCCCCAGUCCUUCCUAACAUAGCUGUUAGGUCUUUAACACUGUCUGUCAGUCUCUACCUCUGUCUUUGUCUCCCCAGUCCUUCCUAACAUAGCUGUUAGGUCUUUAACACUGUCUGUCAGUCUCUACCUCUCUUUGUCUCCCCAGUCCUUCCUAACAUAGCUGUUAGGUCUUUAACACUGUCUGGUAGUCUCUACCUCUGUCUCUGUCUCCCCAGUCCUUCCUAACAUAGCUGUUAGGUCUUUAACACUGUCUGUCAGUCUCUACCUCUGUCUCUGUCUCCCCAGCCCCUCCAAACAUAGCU
rnacentral:lncRNA from 1 species